AGCUUUGUGCAGUGGCAGAAUCGUAGCCAAUGAGGUUUAUCCGAGGCGUGAUUAUUGCUAAUUGAAAAAUAAAAUCUUAAAAAAAUUAUUUAUGUCCUGAUUCAUGUGCUACAUUUUACAUAAAUGCAGAAAGAUAAAAACUGAUUUUUAAAAAGAACUUCGUUG
rnacentral:snRNA from 1 species